UCGAGAAUCUUCGGCAAUGGACGCAAGUCUGACCGAGCGACGCCGCGUGCGGGAUGACGGCCCUUGGGUUGUAAACCGCUGUCAGGGGGGAGGAAAGCUUCGGCUUGACCGAGCCCCAGAGGAAGCACGGGCUAAGUACGUGCCAGCAGCCGCGGUAACACGUACUGUGCGAACGUUAUUCGGAAUCACUGGGCUUAAAGGGUGCGUAGGCGGGCAGGCAGGUCAGGUGUGAAAUCCCACGACUCAACCGUGGAACUGCAUUUGAAACCGUCUGUGUUGAGUGAGUUAGGGGUGUGUGGAACUUCCAGUGGAGCGGUGAAAUGUGUUGAUAUUGGAAGGAACGCCGGUGGCGAAAGCGACACACUGGAACUCAACUGACGCUGAGGCACGAAAGCUAGGGUAGCGAACAGGAUUAGAUACCCCCGUAGUCC
rnacentral:rRNA from 1 species